ensembl:lncRNA
CCCAGGGAGUCAUUUCUAAUAACAACACAAUGGAUGCUUCCAAGUGCACCGUCAAGUUUCAACAUCCUCAUUGCUGGAAGGUGGCCAUGGAUUUCACAUAGGCCAGAUCUUGUGCAUGCAUUCAACGCCUUGUUUGAUGGUGCACAACGACUCAAUGAAGGAAACAUCUGCCUGCGUGUUGCACCGUCUGCACCAGAUCACCACAGCCGGCUAACUGAGGGAGAACUGCUGCACGGCACAUCCACAUCGCUGGAGAAACUGCUGCUGCUCUCUCUCUCUCUCUCACACACACACACACACGUGAAGUUCUGCUUCAGCAUACCACCAGCAUCCUCCACAGCAGCUGUGUGCGUGUGUCUGUUUGUGUAUGUGUGUCAACACAUGAACUUUCUCUUUUCAUCCAGCAGUUGGGAACGUGCCUCAGUCCUCACCACUGGCCAUCAGCUCUGUUCCAUAUUCUUCUGGAGUGCGUGGACGUACACACACACAAGUGCACACAGUUCCUGUGUGGUAAACCUGAUUAGAUGCAGUGGGUUACACUGA